GCCGGGCAUGGUGGUGCAUGCCUGUAAUCCCAGCUACUCGGGAGGCUGAGGUAGGAGAAUCGCUUGAACCCGGGAGGCGGAGGUUGCAGUGAGCCAAGAUCAUGCCACUGCACUCCAGCCUGGGUGACAGAGCGAGACUCCAUCUCAA
ensembl:misc_RNA Metazoa_SRP Metazoan signal recognition particle RNA